UACGAAGGGGGCUAGCGUUGUUCGGAAUUACUGGGCGUAAAGCGCACGUAGGCGAAUAUUUAAGUGAGGGGUGAAAUCCCAGGGCUCAACCCUGGAACUGCCUCUCAUAUUGGGUAUCUCGAGUUCGAGAGAGGUGAGUGGAAUUGCGAGUGUAGAGGUGAAAUUCGUAGAUAUUCGCAGGAACACCAGUGGCGAAGGCGGCUCACUGGCUCGAUACUGACGCUGAGGUGCGAAAGCGUGGGGAGCAAACAGG
rnacentral:rRNA from 1 species